GACGAACGCUGGCGGCGUGCUUAACACAUGCAAGUCGAACGGAAAGGCCCUGCUUUUGUGGGGUGCUCGAGUGGCGAACGGGUGAGUAACACGUGAGUAACCUGCCCUUGACUUUGGGAUAACUUCAGGAAACUGGGGCUAAUACCGGAUAGGAGCUCCUGCUGCAUGGUGGGGGUUGGAAAGUUUCGGCGGUUGGGGAUGGACUCGCGGCUUAUCAGCUUGUUGGUGGGGUAGUGGCUUACCAAGGCUUUGACGGGUAGCCGGCCUGGGAGGGUGACCGGCCACAUUGGGACUAAGAUACGGCCCAGACUCCUACGGGGGGCAGCAGUGGGAAAUAUUGCACAAUGGGCGGAAGCCUGAUGCAGCAACGCCGCGUGCGGGAUGACGGCCUUCGGGUUGUAAACCGCUUUCGCCUGUGACGAAGCGUGAGUGACGGUAAUGGGUAAAGAAGCACCGGCUAACUACGUG
rnacentral:rRNA from 1 species